AAGAGGAAAGGAUUACUCCCUAUCAAGAGAAACAAUUAAUUAUUUAAACAACAAGUUUAUGUCUUUAAAGGCAGAUAUUUGUAAGGAGUUUGCCAAAAAAAACCGAGGAGUGUUUUUGAUAUGGAUAGGUGGAAAGCCGUUGAAUUUAGGCAAUUCCUACUGUAUACAGGUCCAGUAGUUUUGAGAGGAGUUUUAACAGAAAGCAGAUAUGAACACUUUAUUCAACUUAGCGUUGCAAUUAGAAUUCUCCUAAGUAACAAAUAUUGCUUGACUAAAAUAAGUAAGUUACCAGAGCUUUAUGACGAAACAUUUCUGAAAUAUAAUUUGUAUUGCCUGUCGCAUUUGGCAGAAGAAUGUAUAUAUUUUACCAAGAUAAUCUGCAUUCCAUUAGUGCUUUUAAAUAUGAAAGUUAUUUAUACAAAGUAAAGCAAAUGGUAAGAAAAUGAUCUCAAGUUGCUACGCAAAUAUAUAAUCGCCUUGUUGAGCAAAGCAUCAGUACAAUAUCAAUUGGAGAGAGCGCUACAAAAAUUGUAAAAAGAUGUAAAUGAGGAAACAUUCUGUCAAUAAGAAAUAAAUACAUAUAUAUGUCCAUAAAUGCUCCAGACCAUAUUUACAUUGUGGAUUCCAGAGUUAAUAAAAUUGAUCGAUUUUUUGAAGAAAACAAUGAAGUGAUUAUGAAAUCAAAUGAAAUUUUAUUUAACGAAGAUCUGUUCAAUUUGCCUUUAAAAUCAAGCCUUUUAGGCAUAAAAUAUUCGCUAGCCCUUCUUCUUAACGACAUACCGACAGUUCAUAAAGUAACAGACGUUAUUUCGUCUCCAGCUUGUAUAGCUGUCAUUCCCAUCAUACACAAUGAAUAACUUUACCAAGCAAUUUUUAAACGGAAACGAAACGGAAUCAGAGGAAACGACAACUUCGACAAAUACAGUCGAUAUGUCAAACGUUUCCUACACCAAAGUUUCCUUAACUUUUAACUUUGAAUAUCCUCCUACCUCAAGUAAGUAUAAUUAUUAAAAGUUACUUUCAAAGACUAUAAAGUAAAUUUGUAUUCUUUCAGCUAUGUUGCAGUUAAUUUUCAACCAGAUGCAAAAAUUGAAUAAAAAUGUAGAAGAACUUAGGGAACGCUUAGUUAAAUUGGAAGCUGAAAACACAAAGAUUCAAACUCGCCUACUAACGGAAGUGAUAGCACAACGAAAGCUUGUACAAGGAAAUAAGACUCGAAUGCUGCUACCACCAAAGCCCAUUGAUAAAUUAGAAGACCUUAAAAAUUUGAAGAGGACCUAAACAAUUCAGCUGAAUUGUGUGAACAACUGGAGACAGAUAUGAUAAACUAUAACAUUUCCGAUCCUGCUAAAUUUCUGCUCACAAUGUGGAAAAAAUGUUUACGGAUGAAAUUGCUACUAAGUAUUCGUUGAAGGGGACCAACACCAAAAUCUUGUCCUAAGCUUG